CAGUCCUCUUAUCAAUCUCCAAAAAUCAUCCUCCAGGCUGGUCAAGGCAGUCUCAGCUAACUAAAUUGUUCUGAAGUAGCUUAAAAUGGUUUUGACUAAGUUGAGCAAGAAAAUAAUAUUAUUUUCUUCUCUCCCCAGUCUGCUCCAGCUCAUUAUUGACAGAAUGUCUAGUCAUUUCUCAGGAAGAAUAUUAACAGAGCUGAAAGAAAAAGGUGUGGAAAUAUGUAACGGAGUUACCAGAGGACAACUUCUGUGAAAAGAAAGAUCUUCAAGACAGAUGACAGAAGAAAUUAAUCAACUAAACUGAGAAGAAUGAGUUGAAGACUGUGUGCAAGCCUGGGUUGUACCUACUCAUAUUUUCCCCCUUCAUUUAAUUUCUAUGCUUUUGGAUUCCUAAUUCUUCUGGAAGAAAUUUGUCUAUGGAUUUAAUGAGCAAAUUAUCCAAUAAUGUGUUCCUCUUUGUGGCUUUUGGAACCUGGCUAAAAUCAAGAGGAUAAGUAGAACUCUAAUGGUGUGAUUUCACUUUCUCAAGCAACCUCAUCCUCACCAUCUUUGACAGGAGAUGAAUUACUUUUAAUAAGUGCAAGCUGUUCUGACCAGAGUAUUUUCCAAUGGACAAGAUAUGCAGGACAAGCUCUACAUUUGAGUGAGGUGGGCAGGAUUAGGAGCAAAUUCACAUGUCCUUAAAACUGUUCUAUCACACUCUCUACUUAGCACCGAUGCUCAAAUGGUAGAAUCUCAUGCCAGUAUAAAUAAUUUAAAAACAACACAAGUGCUUGGCCACUAAUUAUGCGAAUAAAACAAUUUGUUAGCACAGUU